GAUGAAGAACGUAGCGAAAUGCGAUACUUGGUGUGAAUUGCAGAAUCCCGUGAACCAUCGAGUCUUUGAACGCAAGUUGCGCCCGAAGCCAUUAGGCCGAGGGCACGCCUGCCUGGGCGUCACACGUCGUUGCCCCCCCAUCUACUCCUUCGGGAUUGCGGGGGGCGGAUGAUGGCCUCCCGUGCGCCUCGUCGCGCGGUUGGCAUAAAUGCCAAGUCCUCGGCGACACACGCCACGAAAAUCGGUGGUUGCGAAACCUCGGUUGCCCGUCGUGUGCGGUCGUCGCGCAUCGAGGGCUCGAAAAAAUUGCCGGGCUCCGGCUCGGCUUUCAACGCGACCCCAGGUCAGGCGGGGUUACCCGCUGAAUUUAAGCAUAUCAAUAGCGGAGGA
rnacentral:misc_RNA from 1 species